rnacentral:rRNA from 1 species
AAUCAACGCUGGCGGCGUGCCUCAGACAUGCAAGUCGAACGCGAAAGUCCCCUUCGGGGGACGAAGUAGAGUGGCGCACGGGUGAGUAACACGUAGGUAAUCUACCUUUGGAUGGGGAAUAACAACCGGAAACGGUUGCUAAUACCGCAUAAUGCAGCGGCACCUAAUGGUGACAGUUGUUAAAGCGGGGGAGUCGAAAGACCUCGCGUCUAAAGAGGAGCCUGCGGCGGAUUAGCUAGUUGGUAAGGAAUGGCUUACCAAGGCUACGAUCCGUAACCGGCCUGAGAGGGCGGUCGGUCACACUGACACUGACAUACGGGUCAGACUCCUACGGGAGGGCAGCAGUGGGGAAUCUUGCGCAAUGGGCGAAAGCCUGACGCAGCGACGCCGCGUGAGGGAUGACGG